rnacentral:rRNA from 1 species
UGCCAGCCGCCGCGGUAAUACGGAGGGUGCAAGCGUUGUUCGAAAUUAUUAAGCAUAAAAAGCAUGUAGACGGACUAUUAAGUCUGAUGUGAAAGCCCGGGACUCAACCCCGGAAAUACAUUAAAUACUGGCAGUCUUGAGUAUAGAAGAGGAAAGUGGAAUUCCGAAUGUAGGAAUGAAAUCCGUAGAUAUUCGGAGGAACACCAGUGGCGAAGGCGGCUUUCUGGACCAAUACUGACGCUGAGAUGCGAAAGCGUGGGGAGCGAACAGGAUUAGAUA